rnacentral:lncRNA from 1 species
CUCAUAAUACUUUUCUGCUACUAAAUAGAACUGUCUCUUUUGGCUUUUCCUUCUAGCUGUUCUCAGACGAAGACUUCUACGUUUAUAGAGAGUGUUCUGAUUUUUCUACUCAAAGUUAUUAUUCCAUCUAGAAUUAAGAAAACCAAUACAAAUUCCUGAUUUGGGGAAAAUGGGACCUUUGGACAGUAAUUCAGGCAUAUAGCUAUGUGCUGACAGUUGUUAAGUCAAAGUGUGGUCCACAGAUCGGCAGCAUUAGCAUCACUUGGGAACUUGUUAGCAAUGCAGAAUCUCGGGCCGCAUCCCAGACCUACUUAACAUAUUAGGCAUUUUAACAAGGUCCCCAUGUGGUGUACAUAUUAAUUGUAAGCACUGUCCUGACCACACAGCAAUGGUAAAUAACAUUAUUACUAUUCAGAAAAUCAAACUAUUUCUUCCUUGACCCUCAUGUAUAGAAUUCUUUGAUGAAGUAAAGGUCCCAUAUGAUGAUAAAAACAAAUGCACCUUAAAAUUCCUCUUGAGGUCAGAUAGCUCAAGUGGUAUAUACAAAGAAGCAGUCUUUUCCCAGUCUUAUUUUAAAAAUACUCGCUUCCUAGCCUUGAGCCAUCUCAAAGCACUUAGCAAAAGCUGGCAGGGCCAUCAGAAUAUCAGGUGGUUCCUCGGGUCAGGUCCCCGGGAAGGCCACCUGGCUCCCUGCUCAGCAUAAUGCAGAAAUAGCUGCAUCUGUGUUCCUCCCUUGAGAAACUCAGCAUCCCAUCAGUGGGAACUCUCCUCCCUAGGGGAAACCAGCAAGAGAAGUUAGUUUAACCAUCUAGAAACAUUCCUAAUCUCUCUUUAAACCAAGUCUCUUAUUCGUUACACCAACCAGACACUCUGAGGUAAGCAAGGAAAGGUGUGAACUGUGAUAUUGGCGCCAUAAAUUGAUAUGUACCCAGAAACAGUUAUGUUCUGAAUUAAUGGCUUUAACCUGUUCAUUGUAAAAAGUGCCUUGGACUUCAAUCUAAAGAGGUCAGUAUAAAUAUAUGUGUGUGUGUGUGACAUAUGUAGGCAAAUAUUUACAUAUUUAUACAUACAUAGGUGCACACACAUAUACCCUGCACAUUCAUAUAUAACAUAUACAUACAUAUAUAAGUGCUUCGUAAGAUAUCAUAUUGCUAUUUGCAGCUCCAUUUCUUUUGUCUGGUCCUAUGCUUAUUUGUUCAGUGAGACCUUUACAUAGAGAGGUUCUAUCCAGG